CUUGCUUUCUUUGCUGGCGACCGGCGCACGGGUGAGUAACACGUAUCCAACCUACCCUUUACUCGGGGAUAGCCUUUCGAAAGAAAGAUUAAUACCCGAUAGCAUAAUGAUUCCGCAUGGUUUCAUUAUUAAAGGAUUCCGGUAAAGGAUGGGGAUGCGUUCCAUUAGGUUGUUGGUGAGGUAACGGCCCACCAAGCCUUCGAUGGAUAGGGGUUCUGAGAGGAAGGUCCCCCACAUUGGAACUGAGACACGGUCCAAACUCCUACGGGAGGCAGCAUG
rnacentral:rRNA from 1 species